rnacentral:rRNA from 1 species
GCUUAAAGGGGCCGUAGCUUGCCGAGUAAGUUCGUCGGGAAAUCUACUGGCUUAACCAGUAGGCGUCCGGCGAAAACUGCUCGGCUUGGGACCGGGAGACCAGAGGGGUACGUCCGGGGUAGGAGUGAAAUCCUGUAAUCCUGGACGGACCACCGGUGGCGAAAGCGCCUCUGGAGAACGGAUCCGACAGUGAGGGACGAAAGCUAGGGUCUCGAACCGGAUUAGAUACCCGGGUAGUCCUAGCCGUAAACGAUGCUCGCUAGGUGUGGCGCAGGCUACGAGCCUGCGCUGUGCCGUAGGGAAGCCGUGAAGCGAGCCGCCUGGGAAGUACGUCCGCAAGGAUGAAACUUAAAGGAAUUGGCGGGGGAGCACUACAACCGGAGGAGCCUGCGGUUUAAUUGGACUCAACGCCGGACAUCUCACCAGCUCCGACAGCAGUGAUGACGAUCAGGUUGAUGACCUUAUUCGACGCUGCUGAGAGGAGGUGCAUGGCCGUCGUCAGCUCGUACCGUAAGGCGUUCUGUUAAGUCAGAUAACGAGCGAGACCUGCGCCGUCAGUUGCAACUGCGAUCUCCGGAUCGUGGGCACACUGGCGGGACCGCUGGCGCUAAGUCAGAGGAAGGUGCAGGCAACGACAGGUCCGUAUGCCCCGAAUUUCCUGGGCUACACGCGCACUACAAAGGUCAGGACAAUGGGCUCCGACCCCGAAAGGGGAGGGUAAUCCCGAAACCUGAUCGUAGUUCGGAUCGAGGGCUGCAACUCGCCCUCGUGAAGCUGGAACGCGUAGUAAUCGCGGGUCAACACCCCGCGGUGAAUAUGCCCCUGCUCCUUGUACUCACCGCCCGU